CAGUUCCGGCGGCUACAGCCAGACAACCGCCCCAGAUACCACCCCCGAUCUGAAACAAAUGAAGCCCACAUAAAUGUAUAGAAUUAGCGGCGCAUAAUGGAUGAACACACUUUUUACGUGCAAUGAAACUGGACGCACCGGAUCCGAAGAGGAUCACGAUUACUGCCAUUAAUCCUCGCAUCUUUAUUGGAGCAAGUUAGUUUACCUGUGAUAAGCUGGAAUCGUGUAGGAUUACGAGGAUUCCGAAAACGGACAUCAGAAGACCGCAGAGC